rnacentral:rRNA from 1 species
AUUGAACGCUGGCGGCAUGCCUUACACAUGCAAGUCGAACGGUAACGGGUCCUUCGGGAUGCCGACGAGUGGCGAACGGGUGAGUAAUAUAUCGGAACGUGCCCAGUAGUGGGGGAUAACUGCUCGAAAGAGCAGCUAAUGCCGCAUACGACCUGAGGGUGAAAGGGGGGAUCGCAAGACCUCUCGCUAUUGGAGCGGCCGAUAUCAGAUUAGCUAGUUGGUGGGGUAAAGGCCUACCAAGGCAACGAUCUGUAGUUGGUCUGAGAGGACGACCAGCCACACUGGGACUGAGACACGGCCCAGACUCCUACGGGAGGCAGCAGUGGGGAAUUUUGGACAAUGGGCGCAAGCCUGAUCCAGCAAUGCCGCGUGCAGGAAGAAGGCCUUCGGGUUGUAAACUGCUUUUGUCAGGGAAGAAAUCUUCUGGGCUAAUACCCCGGGAGGAUGACGGUACCUGAAGAAUAAGCACCGGCUAACUACGUG